GGGGGCGAAAUUGGAUUCGACCGGAUAGCUUGAAGUGUAUGUGGCGUGUCGUGGUUGGUCAGUUGGCCACGUAAAAAGCUGACCACACUAUUUAAUUGCAGAGGAAAACCUCUCUCUGGCUGCCUAAUUAAAGGCAACCCCGGCCGAUGGGCUUAGCCGGUUAGCCCUGAACGCUGGUCACCAAAUCCGGAUCGCUGAUUGUCACGUUGGACACGCAGUCAGUUAAAACCUGUUUCCAAAUCGCCGGAUAGUAAGCUCGUCGGCAAGCGUGCUAUCUGGCUAAAUUCAAAUAGUCGAAUACACACGUAGAAGCAUGCAUGGAAAUGUCGCGGGACGCGGGUUCGAUCCCCGCCGCCUCCACU
rnacentral:tmRNA from 1 species